GGGUUGUGAGGUUAAGCGACUAAGCGUACACGGUGGAUGCCCUGGCAGUCAGAGGCGAUGAAGGGCGUGCUAAUCUGCGAUAAGCGCCGGUAAGGUGAUAUGAACCGUUAUAACCGGCGAUACCCGAAUGGGGAAACCCAGUGUGAUUCGUCACACUAUCAUUAACUGAAUCCAUAGGUUAAUGAGGCGAACCGGGGGAACUGAAACAUCUAAGUACCCCGAGGAAAAGAAAUCAACCGAGAUUCCCCCAGUAGCGGCGAGCGAACGGGGAGGAGCCCAGAGCCUGAAUCAGCAUGUGUGUUAGUGGAAGCGUCUGGAAAGGCGCGCGAUACAGGGUGACAGCCCCGUACACAAAAGCGCAUGUGCUGUGAGCUCGAUGAGUAGGGCGGGACACGUGGUAUCCUGUCUGAAUAUGGGGGGACCAUCCUCCAAGGCUAAAUACUCCUGACUGACCGAUAGUGAACCAGUACCGUGAGGGAAAGGCGAAAAGAACCCCGGCGAGGGGAGUGAAAAAGAACCUGAAACCGUGUACGUACAAGCAGUGGGAGCACAGGUUUACCUGUGUGACUGCGUACCUU
rnacentral:rRNA from 2 species